GUUAAAAUGUUGAAGGACCUAGAUGCACGCUGUCUCCAGUCAGAUGGACUAUCUUCACAGCAGGUGUGGUGUCCUUUCUCCUUGGCAUCACGGGUCUGCAUGGAGCUCGUAAGAAGAACAAGAACUUCCUGACCACGUUUUCAMUUGGAUCUUGUCUUCGAUGCAUUGGACUGGGGUUUCUGGCCUACUACCUUCCACCACAGCUUCCAAAUGUGAUGAAAGCCUGGUYUGAAGAGUACAUCCCAUUGCACACAAACGGAAGAGGUCUGGUACAAACAGUGYCGUCACUGCAAACCAUUGGGAAAUGCUGUGGAUUGGUCAAUGGGUAUGAAGAUUGGGGUUCUAAUGUCCCCUCCUCGUGUAGAUGCGAUCCUCUCGGACUAGAGUCUGUGUUCCUAACUGAGGUAAAACUGGGUAAUAGAUGUACAGAAAUUACACUAGGACUGCUCUGUACAUUCACUGUAGUACUGUAUACUGGACUGAACACUGAAAUUCAUGUAUUUUCUCCCCUGUCUACAGUAUGGCUUUGUUUACAAACAACCUUGUCUUGAUCUAGUUGUGAAGAUGUACAUGGACAUGAAUAUUGUGAGGACACCUGUAUUUUCUACAUGGUCAUUACGGCCAUUGAAAUGCUUCUGGCGUUGGUAAUGAUCCGUAGAAUCCAAAAAGCCUCCUUGGCUGAGGUGACCAUGGAUCUUAGUUAUAGAAACGCAACCAACAUGGAAAUGGCAACUACUCAAACUCCUCCCAUGCUGCCUGCCGGACAAGCUCCUCCCAUGCUGCCUGCCGGACAAGCUCUUCCCAUGCUGCCUGCCACACAAGCUCAUCUUCACGCCAGCUCUUAUUACCCGCCACCACCUCCGUACCAGUACGAUGGGAAACACUAGAGGGACGUGACUGACCUGCGAACCCAUGUUGAAUUUCCUCAUUGGUUACAACUGGACCAGGGUUAGAUUUAAGGCUAGGGUUAAGUUUAGGGUUGGGGUCAGUUUGAGUGUUUUCCUUCUUUGGACUGCCAAUGUGUUGCACCCCAAUAUACCUUAGUAAAG